rnacentral:rRNA from 1 species
CCUACGGGAGGCAGCAGUAGGGAAUAUUGGACAAUGGUUGCAAGACUGAUCCAGCCAUGCCGCGUGCAGGAAGAAGGCUUUCUGAGUUGUAAACUGCUUUUGCCAGGGGAUAAAAAGCCCGUGCGCGGGAAAUUGAAGGUACCUGGUGAAUAAGCCACGGCUAACUACGUGCCAGCAGCCGCGGUAAUACGUAGGUGGCAAGCGUUGUCCGGAUUUAUUGGGUUUAAAGGGUGCGUAGGCGGCCCUGUAAGUCAGUUGUGAAAUACUUCAGCUUAACUGGAGAGGUGCAAUUGAUACUGCGGGGCUAGAGUACUGAUGAGGUAGGCGGAAUGGACGGUGUAGCGGUGAAAUGCUUAGAUAUCGUCCAGAACACCGAUAGCGAAGGCAGCUUACUAAGGAGUAACUGACGCUGAGGCACGAAAGUGUGGGGAUCAAACAGG